rnacentral:rRNA from 1 species
AUUGAACGCUGGCGGAAUGCUUUACACAUGCAAGUCGAGCGGGAUUAGCAGCAAUGCUAUGAGAGCGGCGCACGGGUGCGUAACGCGUAUGCAACCUGCCUUAUACAGGGGAAUAGCCCAUGGAAACGUGGAUUAACGUCCCAUAGGAUCACGAUAUCGCAUGGUAUUGUGAUUAAAACUGAGGUGGUAUAAGAUGGGCAUGCGUCUGAUUAGGUAGUUGGUGAGGUAAUGGCUCACCAAGCCGACGAUCAGUAGGGGUUCUGAGAGGAUUACCCCCCACACUGGUACUGAGACACGGACCAGACUCCUACGGGAGGCAGCAGUGAGGAAUAUUGGUCAAUGCCGGAAGGCUGAACCAGCCAUCCCGCGUGCAGGAUGACGGCCCUAUGGGUUGUAAACUGCUUUUGUACCUGAAGAAACCUGGUUACAUGUAACCAGUUGCCGGUGAGGUAUGAAUAAGCAUCGGCUAACUCCGUGCCAGCCGCCGCGGUAA